CCCGGGGCAAAUCAGUCCCAACGGACAGUUGAUUAUUCAACUUAGAUGAUAUCAUGAUAAAUUUGUUUCUGAAUUCUCAUGUUGUGGGAAGCAUUUGUUUGCUGUGGCUGCUCAUCCAUAUUUUAUUCUCUUCAAGUCUGCAACAUAUAUAAUAUAUACAUAUCCAUCACUGACUGGAUAUGAUGGGGUUUUGUAUUACUGAAGAUUGUGAUGAGAAGACUGUUUGAUAGAUUAUUAGAGCCAGUUGAUUUCCUUCAUUCACUGUGAAGGAGCGAGCCUCUAUUCUCGCCUUCUGCAGUUUCGUCAAGCAAAGACAUUCUUCAUACGUAUGUAUCUACUAGACACGUCUUUUCCGUGACAGCGCAGUAACAUUGCUACACAAACUUCAUCCCUGCUUCUUUCUUCAAAGUCUUUUUUGACGUGCUUUGGGUUGCUCGCACGCUUUAGUAUCGUGACUUGUGCCUUAACUCCUUUCAGACAACAUAUCGAGUGUGCUUAAGUGUUUUUGUAAAGAUGCAUAACCUCCAAAGAUGGGAUCUUUGGAUUGUUUAUAGAGAAGAGAAUUCUGGAAAAGAUGGGAGGAUCUGAUUGAAACAAGGGAAGAGAAAACAAGAAAUAGCGAGAGAUCGUUGCCUAGCUCAUGUUACAACUGGUGUUGCAGUAGAAGGUGGCAUCUCAUGUUACAACUGGUGUUGCAGUAGAAGGUGGCAUCCGUAGCGCUAUCGUUGUUGGUUAUGAAACCUAUGAAGCUAAAUUUUAUAAGGAGGGGAAGUUGUAGCUGAGCUUGUUGAGUAAGACUAACCAGUCAAAAAGAUUCCAUUUCAUUAGAAUAAGGUAUUUUCAUUACGAAGAAUUUGUGUUUACUGUCAAUGUUUUUCACAAUAAUGAGAUGACUACACUUACUGAUAAUUCUGCUACUAUUUCAUGGUAUUAGAUCUCAAUCAAGUUCUGCAGUGUUUCAUAUUUAAGGGUAGCAAAAUGUAUGAACCUUAGAGUAAAAUGUCUAAAUUAUCAUGGCAUGAACUAUCUGACAAAGAUGCUCACAUGAAAAUGGUACUGACAUUGCCUCCUUGAAUGGCGAGCUGUUUUUAGCAUCAAGGAGUUACAUGGAACAAACUUGUCAGGAAUCUAGCAGUUUCUUAAAUGAAAUUCAUAAUCCAAUAAAAGACAACCCACUACAGCCGCAAUAAAAAAAAAGACUAAAAAACUAAAAGAAACAUAAAAGACUGAAAAUAAGCACUGCCAGUAGAGAAUGAGGUCACUAACACUGCAGCAAUGAUCCAACCGAAGUAAACAAUUCUGCUGCCCAUCUUGAAGAGACCUGGUGGAUAUGUUGUUGCUCCUUGGUUAACCCUCAAAGCUUCAGCAAACCAGAAACAAUCUUACCAGAUCCUUCUCGGCUUGGUUCCAGAAACACCGGCGAAACUCAAUGGACUUGAGAUGCUGCAACAAACAGUGAGGAAUCAAAUCUAGUGACCAAUCGUAAGAUGGGUAAGCUUCAUAGUCAGAAAAUCCAUCAAGAAAGAUGAGUGACUCCAGAUUUGGUGAAACAUGGAGAAACUUGAGUAGUGUUUCAACAGUCCAACACGGUAGGAUAACCUCAUCAUGAAAUAAACAUAAACAUAAGAUAUGCUGCUUAUGACUGU